rnacentral:rRNA from 1 species
AUUGAACGCUGGCGGCAGGCCUAACACAUGCAAGUCGAACGGUAACAGGAAGAAUCUUGCUUCUUUGCUGACGAGUGGCGGACGGGUGAGUAAUGUCUGGCAAACUGCCUGAUGUAGGGGGAUAACUACUGGAAACGGUUGCUAAUACCGCAUAACUUCGCCAGCCCAAAGAGGGUGACCUUCUUGCCUCUUUCCAUUGUAUGUUCCCAGAUGGUAUUAGCUUGUAGGUGGGGUAACGUCUCACCUAGUCUACGAUCCGUAGAUGGUCUGAGAGGAUGACCAGCCACACUGGAAGGGAGACAGGGACCAGAGUACUACGGGAGGCAGCAGAGGGGAAUAGGAGACAAUGGGCGGAAGCAUGAUGCAGCCAGGCCGAGUGUAUGAAGAAGGCGUUCGGGUUGUAAAGUACUUUCAGCGGGGAGGAAGGGAGUAAAGUUAAUACGAAGGCUGAGUGACGUUAACGGCAGAAGAAGCACCGGCUAACUCCGUG